rnacentral:rRNA from 1 species
CCAGACUCCUACGGGAGGCAGCAGUGGGGGAUAUUGCACAAUGGGGGGAACCCUGAUGCAGCGACGCCGCGUGGGUGAAGGAGUGCUUCGGCAUGUAAAGCCCUAUCGGCAGGGAAGAAGCAAGACGGUACCUGACUAAGAAGCCCCGGCUAACUACGUGCCAGCAGCCGCGGUAAUACGUAGGGGGCAAGCGUUAUCCGGAUUUACUGGGUGUAAAGGGAGCGUAGACGGCAUGGCAAGUCAGAUGUGAAAGCCCGGGGCUCAACCCCGGGACUGCAUUUGAAACUGUCAGGCUGGAGUGCAGGAGAGGUAAGUGGAAUUCCUAGUGUAGCGGUGAAAUGCGUAGAUAUUAGGAGGAACACCAGUGGCGAAGGCGGCUUGCUGGACUGUAACUGACGUUGAGGCUCGAAAGCGUGGGGAGCAAACAGGAUUAGAUACCCCCGUA